rnacentral:rRNA from 1 species
GGAUCCAGACUUUGAUUCUGGCUCAGGAUGAACGCUAGCGGCAGGCUUAACACAUGCAAGUCGAGGGGCAGCGCGGGGCGGCAACGUCCUGGCGGCGACCGGCGGAAGGGUGCGUAACGCGUGAGCGACAUGCCCGUUGCCCGGGGACAACCGGUGGAAACGCCGACUAAUCCCCGAUGGGACGGAGGCCCUCAUGGGUCUCUGUUGAAAGUUACGGCGGCGACGGAUUGGCUCGCGUCCGAUUAGCUUGUUGGCGGGGUAACGGCCCACCAAGGCUACGAUCGGUAGGGGUUCUGAGAGGAAGGUCCCCCACAAUGGAACUGAGACACGGUCCAUACUCCUACGGGAGGCAGCAGUGAGGAAUAUUGGUCAAUGGGCGGAAGCCUGAACCAGCCAUGCCGCGUGCGGGAAGGAGGCCCUAUGGGCUGUGAACCGCUUUUGCCUGGGGGCAAUAAGGGCGUCGUGCACGUCCGAUGAGAGUACCAGGCGAAUAAGCAUCGGCUAACUCCGUGCCAGCAGCCGCGGUAAUACGGGGGAUGCGAGCGUUAUCCGGAUUCAUUGGGUUUAAAGGGUGCGUAGGCUGUGCGUCAAGUCAGGGGUGAAAUUCCGGGGCUCAACUCCGGGGCUGCCCUUGAUACUGUCGCGCUGGAGUGCGGAUGCCGCCGGAGGAAUGAGUGGUGUAGCGGUGAAAUGCUUAGAUAUCACUCAGAACACCGAUUGCGAAGGCAUCUGGCGAAUCCGUAACUGACGCUGAGGCACGAAAGCGUGGGGAUAGAACAGGAUUAGAUACCCUGGUAUUCCACGCCGUAAACGAUGAUGGCUAACCGCCGGCGACACACUGUCGGUG